rnacentral:tRNA from 1 species
AAAGGCAGUAGAGAAAUGGCGUUUGCUAGCGAAAACUUGAGCCCUACUCCCCUUGGCCCCCUUGCCAAGGUAGAAGUCGAGGGUUCAAGUCCCUUCGCC